AACCUUUUUACCACUUAUUAAAUUGUGGGAAUAACCUGUAUAUGCGAAGUACCGUAUACAUGGUGAAAUUCUUCUGUUAUUCCAUUAUUUAUUAUUCUGUUGAAAUAUCCUGUCUGUACGGAUUACGCAUGACCUGGUUCCAUUGUAUUACGCAUGACCUAGUUUCAUUAUUUAUUAUUAUGUUGGAAUAACCUGUCUGUGUGGUCUACCGCAUGCAUGGUGAAUAAUCCUUUGUAUUCCAUUCUUUAUUAUUCUG
rnacentral:lncRNA from 1 species